AAAAGCAUAUGGAUGGGCUCAUGAAGUUAACUAAUGUUUUUCGUAAGUUGAUACUUUUGAUGACAUUUUCCCCGUAAUAUGAUUAUUUGCUGGCGGGCAGUAGAAAAGCUAAGUUGUUUUUGGGGUUUGGUUGCUAAGGAUUUCAAUGGGAUCGAAACUGGUUAAUUGAAAAUUCGAAAGGAAGAGGAUUGACUCAAAGAGCUCUAACUUGGGGUCAGAUUGUUGUUAGGUGUUUUUCUGUCUCCUUCUUGAACUGACUUUUUAUGUCUUCUUCUUGAACUGACUUUUUAUGUCUUCUUCUUGAACUGACUUUUCAUUUGUGAAUAUAGUUUUGGCUGUUUUUGUCACUGUUUCCAUUAAUCUUUUGGCUGCGUUUUCAGUGGUUAGAGCUCAUG